rnacentral:rRNA from 1 species
GACGGAGGGUGCAAGCGUUGUUCGGAAUUAUUGGGCGUAAAGGGUGCGUAGGCGGUUUUGUAAGUCUUAUGUGAAAUCUAUGGGCUCAACUCAUAGACUGCAUGAGAAACUGCAGGGCUUGAGUAUGGGAGAGGUGAGUGGAAUUCCUGGUGUAGCGGUGAAAUGCGUAGAUAUCAGGAGGAACACCUGUGGCGAAAGCGGCUCACUGGACCAUAACUGACGCUGAUGCACGAAAGCUAGGGGAGCAAACAGG